rfam:TPA: Aspergillus nidulans FGSC A4 chromosome VII
UCCUCGAUGGUCUAACGGUCAUGAUUUCCGCUUGUCACCUCAUAGGAACAAGCGCGGGAGACCUGGGUUCGACUCCCAGUCGGGGAG